rnacentral:tRNA from 1 species
UCCCGUGUGGCUCAGUUGGUAGAGAAUGGCGCUUGCAACACCAGGGUUGUGGGUUAGAUUCCCACAGGGGAC